rnacentral:rRNA from 1 species
AGAGUUUGAUCCUGGCUCAGGAUGAACGCUGGCGGCGUGCCUAAUACAUGCAAGUCGAGCGAACGGACGAGAAGCUUGCUUCUCUGAUGUUAGCGGCGGACGGGUGAGUAACACGUGGAUAACCUACCUAUAAGACUGGGAUAACUUCGGGAAACCGGAGCUAAUACCGGAUAAUAUUUUGAACCGCAUGGUUCAAAAGUGAAAGACGGUCUUGCUGUCACUUAUAGAUGGAUCCGCGCUGCAUUAGCUAGUUGGUAAGGUAACGGCUUACCAAGGCAACGAUGCAUAGCCGACCUGAGAGGGUGAUCGGCCACACUGGAACUGAGACACGGUCCAGACUCCUACGGGAGGCAGCAGUAGGGAAUCUUCCGCAAUGGGCGAAAGCCUGACGGAGCAACGCCGCGUGAGUGAUGAAGGUCUUCGGAUCGUAAAACUCUGUUAUUAGGGAAGAACAUAUGUGUAAGUAACUGUGCACAUCUUGACGGUACCUAAUCAGAAAGCCACGGCUAACUACGUGCCAGCAGCCGCGGUAAUACGUAGGUGGCAAGCGUUAUCCGGAAUUAUUGGGCGUAAAGCGCGCGUAGGCGGUUUUUUAAGUCUGAUGUGAAAGCCCACGGCUCAACCGUGGAGGGUCAUUGGAAACUGGAAAACUUGAGUGCAGAAGAGGAAAGUGGAAUUCCAUGUGUAGCGGUGAAAUGCGCAGAGAUAUGGAGGAACACCAGUGGCGAAGGCGACUUUCUGGUCUGUAACUGACGCUGAUGUGCGAAAGCGUGGGGAUCAAACAGGAUUAGAUACCCUGGUAGUCCACGCCGUAAACGAUGAGUGCUAAGUGUUAGGGGGUUUCCGCCCCUUAGUGCUGCAGCUAACGCAUUAAGCACUCCGCCUGGGGAGUACGACCGCAAGGUUGAAACUCAAAGGAAUUGACGGGGACCCGCACAAGCGGUGGAGCAUGUGGUUUAAUUCGAAGCAACGCGAAGAACCUUACCAAAUCUUGACAUCCUUUGACAACUCUAGAGAUAGAGCCUUCCCCUUCGGGGGACAAAGUGACAGGUGGUGCAUGGUUGUCGUCAGCUCGUGUCGUGAGAUGUUGGGUUAAGUCCCGCAACGAGCGCAACCCUUAAGCUUAGUUGCCAUCAUUAAGUUGGGCACUCUAAGUUGACUGCCGGUGACAAACCGGAGGAAGGUGGGGAUGACGUCAAAUCAUCAUGCCCCUUAUGAUUUGGGCUACACACGUGCUACAAUGGACAAUACAAAGGGCAGCGAAACCGCGAGGUCAAGCAAAUCCCAUAAAGUUGUUCUCAGUUCGGAUUGUAGUCUGCAACUCGACUACAUGAAGCUGGAAUCGCUAGUAAUCGUAGAUCAGCAUGCUACGGUGAAUACGUUCCCGGGUCUUGUACACACCGCCCGUCACACCACGAGAGUUUGUAACACCCGAAGCCGGUGGAGUAAC